GCCGUAACUGGGGAAGUUUCUGGGCCCAGAAGAAAAUGUAGGUAGUCUUAGGGUUAGGUAGCAGCUGUCAGGAACUUGCCCCUGCCCAUAAGAUCCUAAAGGGCCCCCAUUUGACUCUCACCAGACAGUUAGAACUUGUUUCCUCCUCCGUGUCAGCCAUCAAGAGGUGCUUGGGGGGCUGUGCCCAGCAGGACCUCACUGCCCAGCAGAUCAGCAGGGGAGCCAAGUGGCCUAGAUCUGCUGUGGAGUACCCGACUGUUUGCCUGCCUGUCUGCCCUCCUCUUCACCUCAUUCUCAUCACUGACGUCUACCAUUGGCUUGGAAAUCAGAAACCCAUAUCCAUCUAGAUGAUUGAUUUUGAUGAUGUGGCUGCAAUAAACCCAGAACUCUUACAGCUUCUUCCCUUACAUCCGAAGGACAAUCUGCCCUUGCAGGAAAAUGUAACAAUCCAGAAACAAAAACGGAGAUCUGUCAACUCCAAAAUUCCUGCUCCAAAAGAAAGUCUUCGAAGCCGCUCCACUCGCAUGUCCACUGUCUCAGAGCUUCGCGUCACGGCUCAGGAGAAUGACAUGGAGGUGGAGCUGCCUGCAGCUGCAAACUCCCGCAAGCAGUUUUCAGUUCCUCCUGCCCCCCCUAGGCCUUCCUGCCCUGCAGUGGCUGAAAUGCCAUUGAGGAUGGUCAGCGAGGAGAUGGAAGAGCAAGUCCAUUCCAUCCGAGGCAGCUCUUCUGCAAACCCUGUGAACUCAGGUAGGCACACUGAGCUGUCUGCUGUUCUGCUUCUAGUGAGGCACAGAUAGUUAACAUCCUGUCCUAAACCUGGCCUACCUUGGCACCUGAGUU
rnacentral:lncRNA from 1 species